rnacentral:rRNA from 1 species
AAAUUGAAGAGUUUGAUCAUGGCUCAGAUUGAACGCUGGCGGCAGGCCUAACACAUGCAAGUCGAACGGUAACAGGAUGCAGCUUGCUGCUUCGCUGACGAGUGGCGGACGGGUGAGUAAUGUCUGGGAAACUGCCUGAUGGAGGGGGAUAACUACUGGAAACGGUAGCUAAUACCGCAUAACGUCGCAAGACCAAAGAGGGGGACCUUCGGGCCUCUUGCCAUCGGAUGUGCCCAGAUGGGAUUAGCUAGUAGGUGGGGUAACGGCUCACCUAGGCGACGAUCCCUAGCUGGUCUGAGAGGAUGACCAGCCACACUGGAACUGAGACACGGUCCAGACUCCUACGGGAGGCAGCAGUGGGGAAUAUUGCACAAUGGGCGCAAGCCUGAUGCAGCCAUGCCGCGUGUAUGAAGAAGGCCUUCGGGUUGUAAAGUACUUUCAGCGGGGAGGAAGGGAGUAAAGUUAAUACCUUUGCUCAUUGACGUUACCCGCAGAAGAAGCACCGGCUAACUCCGUGCCAGCAGCCGCGGUAAUACGGAGGGUGCAAGCGUUAAUCGGAAUUACUGGGCGUAAAGCGCACGCAGGCGGUUUGUUAAGUCAGAUGUGAAAUCCCCGGGCUCAACCUGGGAACUGCAUCUGAUACUGGCAAGCUUGAGUCUCGUAGAGGGGGGUAGAAUUCCAGGUGUAGCGGUGAAAUGCGUAGAGAUCUGGAGGAAUACCGGUGGCGAAGGCGGCCCCCUGGACGAAGACUGACGCUCAGGUGCGAAAGCGUGGGGAGCAAACAGGAUUAGAUACCCUGGUAGUCCACGCCGUAAACGAUGUCGACUUGGAGGUUGUGCCCUUGAGGCGUGGCUUCCGGAGCUAACGCGUUAAGUCGACCGCCUGGGGAGUACGGCCGCAAGGUUAAAACUCAAAUGAAUUGACGGGGGCCCGCACAAGCGGUGGAGCAUGUGGUUUAAUUCGAUGCAACGCGAAGAACCUUACCUGGUCUUGACAUCCACGGAAGUUUUCAGAGAUGAGAAUGUGCCUUCGGGAACCGUGAGACAGGUGCUGCAUGGCUGUCGUCAGCUCGUGUUGUGAAAUGUUGGGUUAAGUCCCGCAACGAGCGCAACCCUUAUCCUUUGUUGCCAGCGGUCCGGCCGGGAACUCAAAGGAGACUGCCAGUGAUAAACUGGAGGAAGGUGGGGAUGACGUCAAGUCAUCAUGGCCCUUACGACCAGGGCUACACACGUGCUACAAUGGCGCAUACAAAGAGAAGCGACCUCGCGAGAGCAAGCGGACCUCAUAAAGUGCGUCGUAGUCCGGAUUGGAGUCUGCAACUCGACUCCAUGAAGUCGGAAUCGCUAGUAAUCGUGGAUCAGAAUGCCACGGUGAAUACGUUCCCGGGCCUUGUACACACCGCCCGUCACACCAUGGGAGUGGGUUGCAAAAGAAGUAGGUAGCUUAACCUUCGGGAGGGCGCUUACCACUUUGUGAUUCAUGACUGGGGUGAAGUCGUAACAAGGUAACCGUAGGGGAACCUGCGGUUGGAUCACCUCCUUA